rnacentral:tRNA from 1 species
GGGGUUGUGGCUCAGUAGCAGAGCACUUGCCUUGCAUGCAUUGAGUACUGGGUUCGAUCCUCAGCACCA